rnacentral:lncRNA from 1 species
GAGAGAGAGAGANNNNNNNNNNCUGAGACUCAGCCCACAGAACUGACUGCUGUUGCCAAUAACAGCAGGACAGACAGUGAGAAUGGACAGAUGGAACUCAGGGGAGCAUGAUGCUCUCUCUCUUUUCUCUCUUUAAAGGACUCAACCACAGCUCCAAAUUGAACUGGGAAGCAGAUCUGAACGUUUGAGGUUGGUUGGCCUCAUUUUAAUCACGAGCCUAAUAAUCUGUCAUCAUUUAAAGGCCAUUUCCUCCACACCUGCAUCCAGAGUGCAUCCAGAGGCUGAGGUUUCGAGGGAGAAUCCCACAGAGUCUCCUCUCUGCUGCCUCUCAGCCACGUGUUCCACGUGCAGCCAUGCACGGCUUGCAGGUUGCUUUUUGUCUGGAUAUUUUAUUUCAGCAACAGAAGUGAAACCAGAACGGAGCUGGUGUGGAGAAAGUGGUCUGCUAGCUGCGGGAGAGACUCACUGCAGAGUGAGCUACUCUAGGCAGCUAACUGCUGGCAGCUGUACGCCCUGGAGCUAUGGAGGUAAAUAGGCCUCUUCCUCACCCAGCUUCAUCCGUCAAAGCACUCUCUGUUGAUGAAGGCUAC